GACGAACGCUGGCGGCGUGCUUAACACAUGCGAGUCGAACGAAGAGCGAUGGAAGCUUGCUUCUAUCAAUCUUAGUGGCGAACGGGUGAGUCACGCGUAAUCAACCUGCCCUUCAGAGGGGGACAACAGUUGGAAACGACUGCUAAUACCGCAUACGAUCUAAUCUCGGCAUCGAGGAUAGAUGAAAGGUGGCCUCUACAUGUAAGCUAUCACUGAAGGAGGGGAUUGCGUCUGAUUAGCUAGUUGGAGGGGUAACGGCCCACCAAGGCGAUGAUCAGUAGCCGGUCUGAGAGGAUGAACGGCCACAUUGGGACUGGGACACGGCCCAGACUCCUACGGGAGGCAGCAGUGGGGAAUCUUCCGCAAUGGACGAAAGUCUGACGGAGCAACGCCGCGGGAGUGAUGACGGCCUUCGGGUUGUAAAGCUCUGUUAAUCGGGACGAAAGGCCUUCUUGCGAAUAGUGAGAAGGAUUGACGGUACCGGAAUAGAAAGCCACGGCUAACUACGUG
rnacentral:rRNA from 1 species